AUCCCGCUGACGAGUCCCAAAUAGGACGAAACGCGCGUCCUGGAU
rnacentral:hammerhead_ribozyme from 1 species